AGAGCCGCGCUAGGCUGUAAGACCUGAGCCGGGCGGAGAAGCAAAGGAGAGGGAAGCUGGAAGCACCUUUGGCCCGGGACAGAAAUCUGGAGAGCUUGGCUACCUCCAUCCUCCUCAGGCCGGAGCAGGCUUCCUGAGAGAGUCCAGGUCGUAGGAGUUUUACGACUUAGAAAAGCGGGCUGCAGAUUCCUUCCUGGGUGUUUGGUUCAAGCCUUGGCUCCAGCCUCACUCUCAGUCUUCCCGGGAGUUCGUGGGAUUUGGACCUUAGAUUAUUAGUAUUAUUUUGAGGGCCUCCUGUGUGUAAGCACUGGUUGUGCGCAGAUGGCUGUGCAGAGGGCCAUGAGGUAGAGGCUGGGGAAAUGAGGGCUUGGAGGUGCUUGAGGUAUGGUCUUUACCUACGUGAAAUGUUGGAGGUUGAGAUGAAAACUCUUGCUUUGAAUUCUUCAUGGAGGACUACAUCAUUUCAAUCCUGAAUCUGGCUCAAUUCUAUUAUUCACUUAUUACUGUAUUAAAAACGUUUAAUUGGCCAGGCACAGUGGUUCACGCCUGUAAUCCCAGCACUUUGGGAGGCCAAGGCAGGCGGAUCACUUGAGGUCAGGAGUUCGACACCAGCCUGGCCAACAUGGCAAAACCCCGCCUCUACUAAAAAUACAAAAAUUAGCCAGGCGUGGUGGCACGCACCUGUAAUCACAGCUACUUAGGAGGCUGAGGUGGCAGAAUUGUUUGAACCCAGGAGGUGGAGGUUGCAGUGAGCCGAGAUCACACCACUGCACUCAAGCCUUGGCAUCAGAGUGAGACUCUGUCUCAGUAAAAAAAAAAUAAAUAAAUAAAAAUGUUUAAUUAACCAUGA
rnacentral:lncRNA from 1 species